AGAGUUUGAUCCUGGCUCAGAAUGAACGCUGGCGGCGUGCCUAACACAUGCAAGUCGGAUGUGCCCGCAAGGGUGCAUGGCAGACGGGUGAGUAACGCGUGGGGAAUCUACCUCUUUGUGGGGAAUAACGCUCCGAAAGGAGUGGUAAUACCGCAUGAGAUCCAUGGCUGGGAUGCUGUGGAUGAAACCUGGGGACCUUCGGGCCUGGGGCAAGGAGAGGAUCCUGCGUCUGAUUAGCUAGUUGGUGAGGUAACGGCCCACCAAGGCAACGAUCAGUAGCCGGCCUGAGAGGGUGAUCGGCCACACUGGAACUGAGACACGGGCCAGACACCUACGGGUGGCAGCAGUAGGGAAUAUUGGGCAAUGGGCGAAAGCCUGACCCAGCAACGCCGCGUGUGCGAUGAAGGCCUUCGGGUCGUAAAGCACUUUUCUGGGAGAUGAGAAAGGACAGUAUCCCAGGAAUAAGUCUCGGCUAACUACGUGCCAGCAGCCGCGGUAAAACGUAGGAGGCAAGCGUUAUCCGGAUUUACUGGGCGUAAAGCGCGUGCAGGCGGUUCGGUAAGUUGGAUGUGAAAGCUCCUGGCUCAACUAGGAGAGGUCGUUCAAUACUACCGGACUUGAGAGCAGUAGAGGGAGGUGGAAUUCCCGGUGUAGUGGUGAAAUGCGUAGAUAUCGGGAGGAACACCAGUGGCGAAAGCGGCCUCCUGGACUGUUUCUGACGCUCAGACGCGAAAGCUAGGGGAGCAAACGGGAUUAGAUACCCUGGUAGUCC
rnacentral:rRNA from 1 species